AGUAAAGUCAGCUAAAAAAGCUCUUGGGCCCAUACCCCAAAAAUGUUGGUUUAAUCCCUCCUUUACUA
rnacentral:tRNA from 1 species